rnacentral:rRNA from 1 species
UCUUUUCCUUUUUUGCCCGCCGCCGCGGUAAUACGGAAGGUCCGGGCGUUAUCCGGAUUUAUUGGGUUUAAAGGGAGCGUAGGCCGGAGAUUAAGCGUGUUGUGAAAUGUAGAUGCUCAACAUCUGAACUGCAGCGCGAACUGGUUUCCUUGAGUACGCAUAAAGUGGGCGGAAUUCGUGGUGUAGCGGUGAAAUGCUUAGAUAUCACGAAGAACUCCGAUUGCGAAGGCAGCUCACUGGGGCGCAACUGACGCUGAAGCUCGAAAGCGCGGGUAUCGAACAGG